GCUUCAUUAGUUCUAGUGGUAAAACAGUCCCUUGGUACGGGACAGUCUCGAGUUCGAUUCUCGGAUGGAGCACCA
rnacentral:tRNA from 1 species